GAAACAAAAAAGCCAGAGUAAAAGUUCAGUUUCGAUUUUGAAGCCGUCGGAUUGUGAUGAUAUUUGUAUAUUCCCAUCUACGACAAUUACAUAGAAAACGAAACCUCUUUUACAUGACAACGUUGACCACAAAAAAACUAAAAGGAUACCUAAUCUAACUAAUAAUUUUAUAAUGUUUGACUCUAAUUGCUAAUCUGUAAUGAAUCUGCAUAUCUGAUUCCCAGGAUAGAAUGUAAAAACAAGAGUGUUUUUUAGGAAAUUGGUUUUCUUAAAGAACCAGAAAGAUGAUUCUGCCCAUGCUGUUUCUGAUCUUAUCCGUCAUAAAAGCUACAAAUAUCGACGAAGAACAACCAAAAUGCUUCACUUUCCAGAAUCUCAUAUAAAGACACCUAAAUUCAUUCACAAAUCCCUGCUGAUCACACUUAUUAGCGCCAGACACAUCUACAAAGCGGCUCCACCACGUUCCAGUAAAUCAACCAGCCUGCAGAUGCUGAAGGAGUUUUUCGUUUUGGAGUUGGACUAUGGAGGAAACAUUACACUGCUCAACAUGGGUUCUGUCCUUCGAACCAUACCAAUUUUUUUUUUAUUUCUAGGUGAUAUAGAAGUCCGAUAAUGCCCAUAAUAACUUCAGGAAAAUUGGCUGGUGCUCAGGGCGCUGCCAUUUUGAAUUUUCCAAAAUUGCGAAAACCCUCGAUCAGUUUUUUGGAAAUAUCUCCUCAACGGUUAAUCUUACGAAAAAAACAAAGAAACCACAUAACAUUUCCUACCGAAACCACCCUCCUUUGUUUUUUCUAGCUUAAUUUUUUGGUCGUAAAAUUAACGUUUUCUUAAAAAAUUAGCUUAAAAAAGGCGUAUUUUUGCUGA